GGGGCUUUGGUCUAGCGGUAGGAUUCGCGGGGGCUUUGGAGCUGWUAUCUUUCGUUACAGCGACAGAGCGGACAACUGUCCAGUACCACAACUGCGAGAGGCGGGUUCGAUUCCCGCAGGCUCCA